rnacentral:rRNA from 1 species
GAUGAACGCUGACAGAAUGCUUAACACAUGCAAGUCUACUUGAAUUUGGGUUUUUUAACUUCGAUUUGGGUGGCGGACGGGUGAGUAACGCGUAAAGAACUUGCCUCACAGCUAGGGACAACAUUUGGAAACGAAUGCUAAUACCUGAUAUUAUGAUUAUAAGGCAUCUUAGAAUUAUGAAAGCUAUAUGCGCUGUGAGAGAGCUUUGCGUCCCAUUAGGUAGUUGGAGAGGUAACGGCUCACCAAGGCGAUGAUGGGUAGCCGGCCUGAGAGGGUGAACGGCCACAAGGGGACUGAGACACGGCCCUUACUCCUACGGGAGGCAGCGGGGGGGAAUAUGGGACAAUGGACCAAGAGUCUGAUCCAGCAAUUCUGUGUGCACGAUGACGUUUUUCGGAAUGAAAAGUGCUUUCAGUUGGGAAGAAAAAAAUGACGGUACCAACAGAAGAAGUGACGGCUAAAUACGUG